UACGGGGGGAGCAAGCGUUGUUCGGAUUUACUGGGCGUAAAGGGCGCGUAGGCGGUCAGCACAAGUCAGUUGUGAAAUCUCCGGGCUUAACUCGGAAAGGUCAACUGAUACUGUGCGACUAGAGUGCGGAAGGGGCAACUGGAAUUCUCGGUGUAGCGGUGAAAUGCGUAGAGAUCGGGAGGAACACCAGAGGCGAAGGCGGCGACCUGGACAGGCACUGACACUCAACUACGAAAGCGUGGGGAGCAAACAGG
rnacentral:rRNA from 1 species